rnacentral:SRP_RNA from 1 species
GAAGAGGCUGGGCGGGCGAAUGUCUCGCUAACCCGGCCAGGGCCGAAAGGCAGCAACCGUACCGAGUUUCAUCCGGGUCGUUCAGUCUCUUCCAC